GGAAUACAUCACGAUUCAAAUGAAUCGACAUGACAUGGGAAAAGAGACAUUGAUGGGAUGAAUUUUCUGAUUCGAAUAUGGCAACGAGUUUACUUGAAAAUGGUAACUGUUUGUCACUGUUCUAAACAUGACAAUAAACACUGUCACUAUUCGAAAUCAGAAAGUAGAUCGAACAGAAAUCCGAUUGAUGAAAAUGUCUCCCAUCACAAUUAUUAAAAACAGAAGAAAAAAGAAGUAGAAAAGCAAAAAAAACUACCGACAAAUGCCGGCAGCCUGUAAAAAACGAAACAGGAAAUUAGUUUUGUUGGUCGCCUCUG